UGUGAUAAUGAAGGCUAUGGU
rnacentral:miRNA from 1 species